GUUUUUCACAGUUCAUUGGCUGUAGGGGGAGGCACGUGAUGAAUCAUGACUCGAGUGACCUCCCACCUCACCUCACCUCACGUGCCGCGCGCAAGAAAUCCGGUAGCGAAGAAGAGAAGGAGAAUUUGCUAACAAAUAUGCCGGAGGAACACAAACGAAAACGAAUCGACAACAUGAAUGUGGUAGAUCAUCUAUUGGAGCACAGAUUUGAGACCCUUAGUCUGGAGGAAAAAUUAGAGGAUAGCCGGGAGCAGGCGGAGUCAACGUCUACAAAGAACGCCACGACUGAAAAUAAACGGGAAUCCAUCUGUGCCGCCCAGUUGAUCACGAGGACGAGGGCUUGGGUCGGCUGGCCCACAAGAUGCAGGUCUUGGUGGACCUCGCGCCGACUGCUGCCAGCCACCGCCGCUAGCAGACCGGAGCCGCUAGGGGCGGACAGGCUGAGCACUGCUCCGUCCUUCUCUUAGCUCCAUGUCCUCCACCACCGCUAGCAGACCGGAGCCGCUAGGGGCGGACAGGCUGAGCACUGCUCCAUCCUCCUCUUAGCUCCAUGUCCUCCACCGCCGCUAGCAGACCGGAGCCGCUAGGGGCGGACAGGCUGAGCACUGCUCCAUCCUCCUCUUAGCUCCAUGUCCUCCACCGCCGCUAGCAGACCGGAGCCGCUAGGGGCGGACAGGCUGAGCACUGCUCCAUCCUCCUCUUAGCUCCAUGUCCUCCACCACCGCUAGCAGACAGGAGCCGCUAGGGGCGGACAGGCUGAGCACUGCUCCAUCCUCCUCUUAGCUCCAUGUCCUCCACCGCCGCUAGC
ensembl:lncRNA